AUGCAAGUCGAGCGAACAGAUAAGGAGCUUGCUCCUUUGACGUUAGCGGCGGACGGGUGAGUAACACGUGGGUAACCUACCUAUAAGACUGGGAUAACUUCGGGAAACCGGAGCUAAUACCGGAUAACAUUUGGAACCGCAUGGUUCUAAAGUGAAAGAUGGUUUUGCUAUCACUUAUAGAUGGACCCGCGCCGUAUUAGCUAGUUGGUAAGGUAACGGCUUACCAAGGCGACGAUACGUAGCCGACCUGAGAGGGUGAUCGGCCACACUGGAACUGAGACACGGUCCAGACUCCUACGGGAGGCAGCAGUAGGGAAUCUUCCGCAAUGGGCGAAAGCCUGACGGAGCAACGCCGCGUGAGUGAUGAAGGGUUUCGGCUCGUAAAACUCUGUUAUUAGGGAAGAACAAACGUGUAAGUAACUGUGCACGUCUUGACGGUACCUAAUCAGAAAGCCACGGCUAACUACGUGCCAGCAGCCGCGGUAAUACGUAGGUGGCAAGCGUUAUCCGGAAUUAUUGGGCGUAAAGCGCGCGUAGGCGGUUUCUUAAGUCUGAUGUGAAAGCCCACGGCUCAAUCCGUGGAGGGUCAUUGGAAACUGGGAAACUUGAGUGCAGAAGAGGAAAGUGGAAUUCCAUGUGUAGCGGUGAAAUGCGCAGAGAUAUGGAGGAACACCAGUGGCGAAGGCGACUUUCUGGUCUGUAACUGACGCUGAUGUGCGAAAGCGUGGGGAUCAAACAGGAUUAGAUACCCUGGUAGUCCACGCCGUAAACGAUGAGUGCUAAGUGUUAGGGGGUUUCCGCCCCUUAGUGCUGCAGCUAACGCAUUAAGCACUCCGCCUGGGGAGUACGACCGCAAGGUUGAAACUCAAAGGAAUUGACGGGGACCCGCACAAGCGGUGGAGCAUGUGGUUUAAUUCGAAGCAACGCGAAGAACCUUACCAAAUCUUGACAUCCUUUGAAAACUCUAGAGAUAGAGCCUUCCCCUUCGGGGGACAAAGUGACAGGUGGUGCAUGGUUGUCGUCAGCUCGUGUCGUGAGAUGUUGGGUUAAGUCCCGCAACGAGCGCAACCCUUAAGCUUAGUUGCCAUCAUUAAGUUGGGCACUCUAGGUUGACUGCCGGUGACAAACCGGAGGAAGGUGGGGAUGACGUCAAAUCAUCAUGCCCCUUAUGAUUUGGGCUACACACGUGCUACAAUGGACAAUACAAAGGGCAGCUAAACCGCGAGGUCAUGCAAAUCCCAUAAAGUUGUUCUCAGUUCGGAUUGUAGUCUGCAACUCGACUACAUGAAGCUGGAAUCGCUAGUAAUCGUAGAUCAGCAUGCUACGGUGAAUACGUUCCCGGGUCUUGUACACACCGCCCGUCACACCACGAGAGUUUGUAACACCCGAAGCCGGUGGAGUAACCAUUUAUGGAGCUAGCCGU
rnacentral:rRNA from 1 species